CUGAUGUGGUAUACUCCUCAAUGCCAUCGGAAGAAUCCCGGAACAUGUUCCAGUCUGUGAUAGCAAAACAGUCCUUUAGUUCAGCGUCUGCUUCAUCUGACCACUUUUUUAUUGACCGAGUCACUGGUGCUUCCUGCUUUAAUUUGUGCUUGUAAGCAGGAAUCAGGAGGAUAGAGUUGUGGUCGGAUUUACAAAAUGGAGGGCGAGGGAGAGCUUUGUACGCGUCUCUGUGUGUGGAGUACAGGUGAUCUAGAAUUGUUUUCCCUCUGGUUGCACAUUUAACAUGUUGAUAGAAAUUUGGUAGAACUGAUUUUAGUUUCCCAGCAUUGAAGUCUCCGGGCACUAGGAGCGCCGCCUCUGGGUGAGUGGUUUCCUGUUUGCUUAUUUCCUUAUACAGCUGACUGAGUGCGGUCUUAGUGCCAGCAUCUGUCUGUGGUGGUAAAUAAACAGCCACGAAAAGUAUAGCUGAAAACUCCCUAGGCAAGUAGUGUGGCCUGCAAUUUACCACAAUAUACUCUACUUCAGGCGAGCAAAAUCUAAAGACUUCCUUAGAUUUCGUGCACCAGCUGUUGUUUACAAAUAUGCACAGACCGCUCCCCCUCGUCUUAUCGGAGUGUGCAGUUCUAUCUUGCCGGUGCAGCGUAUAUCCCGCUAGCUGAAUAUCCAUGUCAUCAUUCAGCCACGAUUCCGUGAAACAUAGGAUAUUACAGUUUUUGAUGUCCCGUUGGUAGGAUAUUCGUGAUCGUACCUCGUCUAAUUUAUUGUCCAAUGAUUGUACGUUGGCGAGUAAUAUUGACGGUAACGGCAGCUUUCCCACUCGCCUUCUCCGGGUCCUGACAGGGCAUCCGGCUCUUUGUCCUCUGUACCUGCGUCGCUUCCUCUUGCAAAUAACGAGGAUGUCGGCCUUGUUGUAGAAAAAAUCUUUGUCUAAUCCGAGGUGAGUGAUUGCUGUCCUGAUAUCCAGAAGCUCUUUUUUGCCGUAAGAUACGGUUGCAGAAACAUUAUGAACAAAAUAAGUUAUAAAUAACGCAAAAAAACACAUAAUAGCACAAUUGGUUGGGCGCCAUAAAACUGCUGCCAUUUUAAUCAGGACCAGUGUGGUGGUACAGGCUGGGAAGGCUGAGGGUUAUAUGGACCAGUGUGGUGGUACAGGCUGGGAAGGCUGAGGGUUAUAUGGACCAGUGUGGUGGUACAGGCUGGGAAGGCUGAGGGUUAUAUGGACCAGUGUGGUGGUACAGGCUGGGAAGGCUGAGGGUUAUAUGGACCAGUGUGGUGGUACAGACUGGCAAGGCUGAGGGUUAUAUGGACCAGUGUGGUGGUACAGGCUGGGAAGGCUGAGGGUUAUAUGGACCAGUGUGGUAGGUACAGACUGGGAAGGCUGAGGGUUAUAUGGACCAGUGUGGUGGUACAGGCUGGGAAGGCUGAGGGUUAUAUGGACCAGUGUGGUAG
rnacentral:lncRNA from 1 species